rnacentral:lncRNA from 1 species
UCUGGGUUAAGUCACUUGUACUUGGUUGCAGUUUUCGUGUGUGAAUGAAUAAAUUAGGAACAAUUUUAGAGUUAGACCCUGAACAAAUGCAAACCUGAAAGAACUUGAAAGGUUCACCGAAGACUAAAACUAAAAUAAUGAAAUUCACACAGCGCGUGUUCGUCUCCUUGGUGUUAUUGGUUCUCAUGAUGGACACGUGUCAAGCUGGUAAGCGGAAGCGGUUGUGUAAAUUGAAGAAGAAGAAAGGCGAAUGUAUUGAUAUUAUACCGAGGAAAACCUUGAAGAAAUACAAGCAAUGUCCGGAAUUGUCCACCUUUGGAAGAUGUGCCAAAACUAACGGUACUUGCAACAUGACAAAAACUGCAAAGGGCAGAAACAUUUGUGAAUGCAAAACUGGAAGAGUAGUUUGAUAUCAUCCUAAAGAAACACAAUACCGAAAAAGAAAAACAUCGAGCGCCACAUUUCUUCAUUGAAAAUCAGCCAUCUUCGCGGGAUGUUGAAUUUGAAAAACGAAAUCUUUUGAAACAAUCUAUUUGUAAUAAAUAAUAUGAACAGUCUGUGAAUGUAACUAAUGUUUUCUCUUUGAACAGUCACAAGAAUGACAUUGAUAUUCAGUUAUGUAUAACAUAGUGUAAAAUACGAAAAUGUGGUAGAAAGAAAACAAUAAAUUAUGAAAAAGUAUAGGAAUUAAUCGGAUUUUAAUUAAAAUGUAUUAUAGUGUUGUAGUCAAACAUUUCUAAAAAUGUGAUUCGAACAUUCAAGUAGGUAAAUAAAAAAUUCGCAUUCAGAGACUCUAGCUACAUUAUUUGCCAUCAGUGAUAUUUACGAACGAUAAUGAG